CCCUCCCCAAAUAAAGGAAAAAGAAACAGAAAAAGAACCCUAAGCCAUUCUCUCUGUUUUCGAAGAGUAAAUUAUGCGGUUCAAACUGAUUUGCUCAUCACCUGUGACUGAUAAAAAAUCGAUCUACAAUUUUCUUCUCUUUCUAUUCAAGAUUGAUAGCUAAAUAUAGGCCAGCAAUGCCAGUAUUGUCUUUUGUCAUUCCUCGACUCAAGAUAAAUCAACUGAAGUGGAGUGCUAGCGGUGCAUUUGAGGCAAGGCAAUCUCUUAUUGUCUGAGGUCUUUUCCCAAUGCUGGCUGAUCCUCGACAUCUUGAGAUCAAGAAUUUGAAGUUUAAAGAAAUUUUCCCAGAAGAAAGUACAGAGCAAGUAUAAACAACUGCAAAUAUUAAAAAACAAGUUGAAGCACAAGAGAUACAUGUUUUCUAUUUUGUUUAGAGUUGUUUAAAGAUGUUCUCACUUGUACAUGAAUUCUGUUCUCUUUUGUUAGGA